ensembl:lncRNA
AACAGUAUUAGCAUUUAAUGUCCCAUUGAGCUGUGUCCAGGCGUGCUCUUUUUGUGCCAUCUACUGGUAGAUUGUAGCGGGUACAAUUGUUUUAUGUUUGGGUUUCUGCCCGAGCCCAUUUUGCUGAGACACAUGCUAUCUGCAGGCUGUAGCUGCCGGUUAGCUCCACUAAGAAUGAAAGAAACGUGAAAAUUUGAGAUAAAAUUAAGAAAUAAGAGCGAAAGAAGAUAGAGAAGAAAAUAAAGGAUUAUUUAGCCCCCUCUGGGAUGUCAGCUCACGAGUUCUCACGGGUUGUCAAGACCAGAAUAAACCCUGUUUUAUAACUCUACAUCGUGCGUUCGUUGAUCCUUGAGGGUGCUACAGUGAGAACUCCCGUCUGCUGAGCGCGGGUAGAUAAUGGACGGUGCCGACAACGAGCAACAGGUGCCACCAUCAGCCACGGCGAUGCACAGCAAGGAAGGAGCCACCGCUGGAAGGUUCAGAUGGAAUCAUGUUUUUGGAAACAACUCCCUGACAGCACCUGCAGAUGAAAUCAACUUCCACCCCAGUAAGAAAAAAGAGACUGCUCCACGGCCAGCAUGUGAGAAGAUGGGUAGAAUUCCGCUGGCUUGUACCAGAGGGGAUGAGGGAUACAUGGAGACAUAUAGGGGUUUUAUCAGCGAGUUGAAAGAAAUUUGUCCCACUGCUUGCGUAUUUAAGUCCUUGCCAAGAUUGGACCCAGAAGAGACUGAUACAGCAAACAGCGAGACAAAUGACACUGAAGAUGAAGGUAAAAAUUGGCGCUUGACAUUUACCAAUUAGUUUCAAUAAUGAGAAAAAUGAGAAUCUGAGGC